GGGUAGGUGGUGUAAUGGUAGCAUAAAUGUCUGUGGUAUAGGAGGUCCGUGUUCGAUUCACGGCUUGCCCA